GCCGGGAAGCGCAGAGCCCGCCUCCUGCGCCAGGCUCGCACGCUCGGCUGGCGCGGGGCGGCUGGGGAAGGCGCUGGGGCCCGCGUGAGAUCGCAGAACCCGAGGCUGUUGCGGGCACGCCAGGCGGCGGCGUGAGGCCACACCGCUCCCGGAUCAAAGCCGCGCGGGCCGCCCGGGGAGCCGCAGCUCGCAGGCCUGGCGAGGCGGACCGUUCCCGCAGAGCCGUGUGCUGAGCUGUGUGCGGAUGGCUGUGAUUUUUGAGUUCCUGCUGGAUCAGAAGUUGAGGAGAGCAGAAGCCCAUGAAGUUACAAACAGGGUGCCAUGAGAAAAUACAGGCCGUGGCCAUGGCUACCAGCACCUUCACUGAAUGCAGCAAAGGUCUCAGAGGCUAAGCAGAGGUCUCUCCCAGUGAAGGAGCUGAGUUAUGAAGUAUCCACAGCCCCUACCUGGAAAAUGAAGGCAGAGGCUCCUGGGGUCAGGGGGCCCCACGGAAGCAGAAGGUAACUGGAGAGGAGGCAUCUAUGACAAGGAGAAAGGGAAGUGUACCAUGGUACACUCUCUCCUGCCCUGAUGCUCACAGGAGCCCUUCAGACUAUCUCGCCUGUCAGUCAUGCAUUUCCCUGGUCCGUUCCAGAAGGCCACCUGCAGCCGUGUAUCACAGUGUGCAUUUCCAUAGAUGCGAUGGCCCUGCCUCAAAUAUAUGACCCCUUUCUUUCAGUUCCCCCCGACUGCUGAGAUUAAAGAUGUGUGCCACCA